rnacentral:rRNA from 1 species
AGCGAACGCUGGCGGCAGGCUUAACACAUGCAAGUCGAGCGGGCGUAGCAAUACGUCAGCGGCAGACGGGUGAGUAACGCGUGGAAACGUACCUUUUGGUUCGGAACAACCCAGGGAAACUUGGGCUAAUACCGGAUAAGCCCUUACGGGGAAAGAUUUAUCGCCGAAAGAUCGGCCCGCGUCUGAUUAGCUAGUUGGUGAGGUAACGGCUCACCAAGGCGACGAUCAGUAGCUGGUCUGAGAGGAUGAUCAGCCACAUUGGGACUGAGACACGGCCCAAACUCCUACGGGAGGCAGCAGGUGGGGAAUAUUGGACAAUGGGCGCAAGCCUGAUCCAGCCAUGCCGCGUGAGUGAUGAAGGCCCUAGGGUUGUAAAGCUUCUUUUGUGCGGGAAGAUAAUGACGGUACCGCAAGAAUAA